rnacentral:rRNA from 1 species
AAUUGCUAGUAAUCGCAGAUCAGCAUGCUGCGGUGAAUACGUUCCCGGGCCUUGUACACACCGCCCGUCACACCAUGGGAGUCGGUAACACCCGAAGUCGGUAGCCUAACCUAAGGAGGGCGCCGCCGAAGGUGGGAUUGAUGACUGGGGUGAAGUCGUAACAAGGUAGC